GCUCUGUCACCUCCUGUGAGCUGACACAGCCACCCUCAGUGUCAGUAGCUCCAGGACAGAUGACUAGGAUCACCUGUAGGGAAAACAGUAUUGGAAGUAAAAGUGCUUAAUGGUACCAGCAGAAGCCAGGACAGGCCCCUGUGUGGGUCAUCUAUGGGGAUAGCAGGCGGCCUUCAGGGAUCUCUGAGAUUCUCUGGCUCAAACUCAGGGAACAGGACCACCCUGGCCAUCAACAGGGCCCAGGCUGGGGACGAGGCUAUUACUGUAAGAUGUGGGACAUUAGGACUCCUCAUCC